rnacentral:tRNA from 2 species
GGUUACGUGAGGAAAAUGGUAGCCCUGCUGUUUUUAAACAACAGUGCCAAGUGCGUGUGGGUUCGAAUCCCACCGUAACCA